rnacentral:rRNA from 1 species
UCAUGACUCUCGACAACGGAUAUCUUGGCUCUUGCAUCGAUGAAGAACGCAGCGAAAUGUGAUAUAUGGUGUGAAUUGCAGAAUCCCGUGAACCAUCGAGUACUUGAACGCAAGUUGCGCCUGAGGCCAAGUGGUUGAUGGCACACCUGCCUGGUUGUCGUCG